UGGUGGAGUGAUUUGUCUGGUUAAUUCCGAUAACGAACGAGACCUUAACCUGCUAAAUAGCCAGGCCGGCUUUGGCUGGUCGUCGGCUUCUUAGAGGGACUAUCGGCUCAAGCCGAUGGAAGUUUGAGGCAAUAACA
rnacentral:rRNA from 1 species